GACAGAGGGUGCAACGUUGUUCGAAUGAUCUGGCGUAAGCGAGUGUAGCGGUCUGAUAAGUCGGGUGUAGAAAGCCCUGGGCUCAACCCAGGAAGUGCACUCGAAACUGCCAGGCUAGAGUAGUCGGAGAGGUUGGGUGGAAUUCUCGGGUGUAAGAGGUGAAAUUCGGUAGAAUAUCGAGAGGAACACCGGUGGCGAAGGCGGC
rnacentral:rRNA from 1 species